rnacentral:rRNA from 1 species
UACAGAGGUCCCAAGCGUUGUUCGGAUUCACUGGGCGUAAAGGGUGCGUAGGUGGCUUGGUAAGUUCGAUGUGAAAUCUCCGGGCUUAACCCGGAAAUGGCAUUGAAUACUAUUGAGCUGGAGGUUUGGAGGGGGACUGGAAGUUCUCGGUUGAGCAGUGAAAUGCGUAGAUAUCGAGAGGAACACCAGUGGCGAAGGCGAGUCCCUGGACAACACCUGACACUGAGGCACGAAAGCUAGGGGAGCAAACAGG